GAGCUAGAACUUCCGGGUCCAGAUCCCGCCCUCUGCCGACGUUCUUUGGAAGAGUGUGCACGCGAGCUGGUUGCGUUCUCUGAACCGCAGAACUUUGACUACGCAGGUCUAGGGACUUCCUGGGGUGGAUAAUAGGUCUGGGUAGAGGCUGGGAAUUUGCUUUGUGCUUCUGUGUUGGUUGUGGGAAGCAGCCAGAGUAAAUGGGUAGUAGCAGAAACGGUUGAAUGCAGUGACUUUAAUAUUGUACUAUGUUAAAAACUACCAACUUUUAAGGUUGCUGUCACAUCUUACUUCAUCGUCACAGUCUUGUUAAUAAGCCUGAUGUGCAGAUGAGGAAAUUGAUGUAAGCAUGAAAAGGUUACCCACUAGCAAGAGAUGAGAUGAAAAACCUGACUUUGUCUAAUGCACACGUGUGCUUUUACAUGAAGAACCCAGCUUCAGAGAAACACAUCCAGAGAGGUGAAGUGACUUUCCUAAAAUCACCCCAAGAGUCAAUGUUAGAGAAGACUGUGUAACUAAAUCUAUUAUCUCAAACCUGACCUCGGGCAAAGGAGGAUGAAAAACUUUAAGUCUUGAGUUUUGCUGAACAACCUGCCACACUGUAGAUGUUAUAAUACAACUACCAGACUGCUAUUGUUGUCCAUUCUUGGCCACUGACUACUUCUAAUUGGAGUUCAAGAGGCUGGAGUGGGGAAGAAAGGAGAGGAAAAAAAUAUCAAGACAAUGUACAAACCGGCAGUGGUGCCAAGCAGCUGGCCCAGCCAAGGAACCCAUAAAUAGACAUCUGUCUUCUGUCUAGGUUCAAGAUAAAAGCUAGAAGUGGGAAGUUGAAGCUUUAUUAAAGGACACACAGCAGAAAAACUUUUCCUCAGAGGAAGACCCAAGAGGUGGAAACUAUGGAAGGGGGAGUUCUUCCCUCUUUUAUAGCUAAGGUUUACUUUCAGGUUUCCUGCAUUCCUGUCGCAUGUAUUCCUUUAAUUCUAUCUUUUCUUCUUUACUUACUGCCAGACUUUUCCCUUACAUAAAUUUUGAUCUCCCAGUAGUACAGCUUAUAUAGGAAGAAUACAUGCUUAAUUAUUUCCCUUUAUUUGCUAAUUUUCAACAUAAAGAAUUGGUCACUAAAUAUUCUAAAUGACAA